AUUGACGUAGAGCUGGUGCUUGUCGAGGGAUAAGUCAAGCGAUCUUGCUGCAUUGAAGGAACUUGAAACGUUGCAGGUUGUUUAGCAGCGGUGAACUGAUCAGGCUCAAGAAUCCAUAGUCUGUCCUUGAUGGAAGCGAAGGUUGGUCCACUUCUGCAGAAACCUCAGGGUCUUUCAAAUGAAGUGUACAGACGAAUGCAACGUCAGGGAUUGAAACCAGCCAUUGGCAUUGUUGUUGGUGCUCUCAAGGUAUGUAGAAGCAUGAGAGAUCUACAACUAGGCAGGAGAAUGAACAGGGAUGUUUCCGAGACAGGUGACUUCUCAAACAUUAUCGUCGCCAACAUCCUGCUUGAUCUGUACGCGAAAUGCGGAAGCAUGAUAGAUGCUCGUGGAACAUUUGACAGCAUGCCGCAUCGCGAUGUUGUCUCCUGGAAUUCGAUCGUACAGGGAUAUGAUAUGCA